AUAUACCUGCGAAGUUCGUGUUAUAAAAACAAGCAUGCUUGUUUUUUGCCUAUGUUAAAACCCACAUUAACGACAGGGAGUUCAGAUUCUUGAGCGGUGAGCAGGCCUCCCGCAUAUUAGCUGCUUAUGUCACCUUUUAUGCGGACGUUGGAAGUUCUAAAGCAAAAGAGAGGACACCCACCUGCAUAAGGCAGGGUUUCGUUUCAUAGGAACACGGCUUUGCGGGUUAUGU
rnacentral:other from 1 species